CACGUAGGUCCCGAGCGUUGUCCGGAUUUAUUGGGCGUAAAGCGAGCGCAGGUGGUUUAAUAAGUCUGAUGUAAAAGGCAGUGGCUCAACCAUUGUGUGCAUUGGAAACUGUUAGACUUGAGUGCAGUAGAGGAGAGUGGAAUUCCAUGUGUAGCGGUGAAAUGCGUAGAUAUAUGGAGGAACACCGGUGGCGAAAGCGGCUCUCUGGACUGUAACUGACACUGAGGCUCGAAAGCGUGGGUAGCAAACAGG
rnacentral:rRNA from 1 species